CCUACGGGGGGCUGCAGUGGGGAAUAUUGGACAAUGGGGGCAACCCUGAUCCAGCCAUGCCGCGUGUGUGAAGAAGGCCCUCGGGUUGUAAAGCACUUUCAGUGAGGAAGAACGCCUGGUGGUUAAUACCCAUCAGGAAAGACAUCACUCACAGAAGAAGCACCGGCUAACUCCGUGCCAGCAGCCGCGGUAAUACGGAGGGUGCGAGCGUUAAUCGGAAUUACUGGGCGUAAAGCGCGCGUAGGUGGCUUGAUAAGCCGGUUGUGAAAGCCCCGGGCUCAACCUGGGAACGGCAUCCGGAACUGUCAAGCUAGAGUGCAGGAGAGGAAGGUAGAAUUCCCGGUGUAGCGGUGAAAUGCGUAGAGAUCGGGAGGAAUACCAGUGGCGAAGGCGGCCUUCUGGACUGACACUGACACUGAGGUGUGAAAGCGUGGGUAGCAAACAGGAUUAGAUACCCUAGUAGUC
rnacentral:rRNA from 1 species